ACACCUCAACUCUCGCGGUUCGCCACGAUGAGCUUGGACUUUGGGGGUCUUGCCGGCCUGUGGUCGGCUCCUCUCAAACAAAUCAGCUUGCCAGUGUUUGGUGGCAUCACAAGUGUGAUAACUAUCUGCGCUCGUGGUUUUCCACCAGUCAACCUUCAGUGAUGAAGGUUCGCUGGAGCUCACAAACGUCCCUCCUCUGUGAGGACAACUUUUUGAAC
rnacentral:misc_RNA from 1 species